UGGGGAAUAUUGGUCAAUGGGCGGGAGCCUGAACCAGCCAAGCCGCGUGAAGGAAGAAGGCGCCAGGCGUCGUAAACUUCUUUUGUCGGGGAACAAAGGGCGCCACGCGUGGCGUUGUGAGUGUACCCGAAGAAAAAGCAUCGGCUAACUCCGUGCC
rnacentral:rRNA from 1 species